AAAAAAAUAAGCUAAUAAAGCUUUUAGGUUCAUACCCUGAAUAUAAGAAUUAAAUUUCUUUUUUUUUUA
rnacentral:tRNA from 1 species